CAUGGAAGCUCUUGAUUACGACCUGACGUGCAAUGACCGAGGCUUCCCCAGGAAAACAUGGAGAAGGUACCGAGCCAACCUGAGGCUGGAUCAAGGAAGACUUUCUGGAAGAGGCAGAUGCGUGAUCUCCAGUCCCCAGUGGUGUCCCCAGGGCUUCCUAAGGUGACAAGAUACACAGCUUGACUCUCUGAAAGCCUCGGCAAAGGUGAUGGGAGCUGUCCCUUCACUUCGCCACAGCUCAGCGUUGCAAAACCCAGACGCUGGCGCCAUGCUGCCUGGGUGUGGGUCUCUGCCCAGCCGCUUACAACCUGUGAGCUCUUGGGCAAGUUAUUCGGCCUCUCUGGGCACAGCGUCCCCAUCUGAUUAGUGGGCAUGAUAACAGCACCACCGCCUCACAGACUUGUUGAGAAGAUUCAAUGAGUUUAUACAUGAAAAACGCAUAGAACCCUGGAAACCAGGACAGCACCGGCAUAUGGCAAGCGUAUGAUGAAUAUUCAUUAUUUUUCUUCAAAUCACCUUGUUCCCAGAUAAUGUGCUAUUUUUUGACCCAAAUACUUUCAUCCUUUUCUAAAUAAAUGCCAUCGGGAGGACUCUGUGUAGAAAGAUUUGCUCCCCUCGGGAAGACACUGUCCUCAGCAGUAAAAGGAGAGGUCUGGGGCCAGGUUGAUGUCAUGGGACAAUUGCUAAGGCCCAUGCCAGUGCUCAAGUUCUGGCCCUCUGUGAAGAACGUGGUGUGGUGUGGCUCUGUGAACCAGAGGGCAGCUGGCCAGGGCUCCCCGUUACCCAAAGCACCCUCCUACCUUUGUUGCACAGUACAUGUCUACACCUCUUUGCCCUUGGCCAAGUGUUCACACCCAAGAUAUCACCAAUCCCCCCAGCAGCUCUAUGAGGGGCCCACUAGGCUGAUGUUACGGGGAAGAACUGAAGUUCAAGGAGAGGUGGACUUGUCCGUCUCCAAGUCCAGCGCCAUCCCCCCAUUCCACAUGGCCUGUGGCCCAUGCUCUCAGGCAGAUUGUAAGAAAAUUAGCUCUAUCAAGGACGUGGUCAUAAACAAACAUUCCUAGGGUGCUGGGGCCUUUCACCUGUUCUGAUACUCAUUCCUCAUGCAGACACCCACUCAUCGGCAUCCAUCAAGUGAGAGCCUCCUCCUGCAGGCUCUCCUGGCCCUUGCUCAGGCUCUUCCCUCUGGCUCCCUACAACAACUUUGCCCGUCGUUCAGUACUCAGCUCUCCCCCGCUGAGCCCCCAGAAUCCUCCCUGGACCUCUCUCUGCCCCGCUCCUGUGUGCCACGUGCUGCUCACAGCUGCGCCCGCUCUGAUCGCUUUCUUGCAAGCGUCUGCCCUCGUGUGUGCCUUCCCCUCUGGAGAGGAGCUCGCCGAGGGCAGGGACUGUGUGUGUCUGUUAUGAGGUGAACUGUGCCCCCCAACAUCCAUAUGUUGAAGCUUUACCCCUGAUACCUCCAAAUGUGACUGCAUUUGGAGAUAGGGCCUUUAAAGAGGAGAUUAAAGUAAAAUGAGAUCACGAGGAGAUCCUAACCCAGUAUGGCUGGAGUCCUCAUAGGAAGCGGACAUUAGGACACAGACACACACAGAUGCGAAGUCACAGCGAGAAGACAGCCGUCUACAAGCCAAGGAGAGAUGCCUCAGAAGAAACCAACUCUGCCGACACCUUGAUCUUGGACUUCUAACUUCCAGGACUGUGAGAUAAUAAAUUCCUGUUGUCUGUGGUGCUUUUCACGGCAGCCGAGCAGACUCACACCGUGUCCUGAGCAUCUCUGCUUUCCCAGGGCCUUCCUCCCCACUGGCUCAGGGAGGGGCCCGGUAGAUCCUUCUGGCACUGAACUCAAACUGUCCUCUGGAUGAUUUGCUGAGGCUAGAAAUUUGGCUUGAACAAGAUGAAAAUUUUCUGCCAGGAAAGGGUAGGAAAAAAGGGGAGUUUCUGUCGAGUAUCAUUUAAGCAGAAGGUUUGAGAUGACUACACCUCUUUCUUCAUCAGACCGAAUGCCUGGACGGUGGAGCCUUGACUUAAGCUAAUAUAGACACCAAGAAGGAUAUACAGGGAAUCGCUCUCUAUUUAACAUGAUUCCGCCGUGUCCCCGGAUGACCUGAGGCAGGUGGCUUGGCCUCCCUGAAACUCCAUUCCCACCUGUGAGAUGGGGAUAAUGAAGCUCAGCCUGCUAAUUUCAGAUGUCCCUGGCAAUUUAGUGGAUACACUUGUGUUGCUCUUUGUCCUGAUAAAUAAAGGUUAAUUACAAAUAUGGA